AUGGUGAUUGCCUUCAUUAUUUGGGGUUUCAUUGAUGGUGCCCUAAAUGAAGUGAUCAGUUGCUCAGCUCUUAAUUUACUACGACCUCUUCUGCUGAUUGUAACUGUUCCACAAGAAGUUACAGUUCUGCUUCAUAAUGCAUGGGAGAGACGGACAUUUUACCAUCAAAAUGAUGUUGCCAUUGGUGUCAUUAUGUUUAUUUUGGCAUUUAUAUGGCUUAUCACCAUCUGUUAUGGAGGUAAGAUACACUGUUGGUCUAUUAAAAAGACUGCAUUUAGUUUAUUACUGUUAGGUUGCAAAGAAAGAGAGAAAACAGCGACUCUUGAUUCAUACAUGAAUCCUCUGUGUCUUAUGUUCACUGAGUAAACCAAACCUAGUUUCAUAUAUUAAUUAUACAACAGAAUACAAAUUGCUGAGUAUUUAAGGUCAACAUUGCAGAUUGCACAUUGGCAAUAUAAAAGAGAAAGCUUCAUGUGGACAAGGUUCUCCUUACAAGAAGGUAUCCAUGAUAUUGUCUUUAAAUGUAAAACUAAAUUGAACUUUAAAAAAUAGCUCCUUGUCACACCAAGCAUCUCACCUUCUGAAUAAAGUUAUAUGAAAUUAUAUACAUU
rnacentral:lncRNA from 1 species